rnacentral:rRNA from 1 species
GAUGAACGCUGGCGGCGUGCUUAACACAUGCAAGUCGAACGAUGAAGCCCAGCUUGCUGGGUGGAUUAGUGGCGAACGGGUGAGUAACACGUGAGUAACCUGCCCUUAACUCUGGGAUAAGCCUGGGAAACUGGGUCUAAUACCGGAUAGGAGCGUCCACCGCAUGGUGGGUGUUGGAAAGAUUUAUCGGUUUUGGAUGGACUCGCGGCGUAUCAGCUUGUUGGUGUGGGAGUGGCUCACCAAGGCGACGGCGGGUAGCCGGCCUGGGAGGGUGACCGGCCACACUGGGACUGAGACACGGCCCAGACUCCUACGGGAGGCAGCAGUGGGGAAUAUUGCACAAUGGGCGCAAGCCUGAUGCAGCGACGCCGCGUGAGGGAUGACGGCCUUCGGGUUGUAAACCUCUUUCAGUAGGGAAGAAGCGAAAGUGACGGUACCUGCAGAAGAAGCACCGGCUAACUACGUG